AGUCACUGACAUUAGAUACCCCCGUAGUCCAGGGUGUAAACGCUGCAGACUUGGUGUUGGAAGCCCUUUGGGGGCAUUCAGUGCCGGAGAGAAGUUGUUAAGUCUGCUACUUGGGGAGUACGUCCGCAAGGAUGAAACUUAAAGGAAUUGGCGGGGGAGCACCGCAACGGGAGGAGCGUGCGGUUUAAUUGGAUUCAACACCGUAAAACUCACCAGGGAAGACUGUUACAUGAAGGCCGAAAUGAAGACUCUGCUAGAUUUUCAG
rnacentral:rRNA from 1 species